rnacentral:ncRNA from 2 species
ACACUCCCGCUGGCCACAGGUGUCCUGCCGCCGCCAUUCCGGUGCGCAGGGUGAAACGGGAAGCCGGUCCGAUGCCGGCGCUGCCCCCGCAACGGUAGGCGAGAAAACCCGACUCAGAACCACUGCGGCAACGCGGGAAGGUGUCGGGGUGAUGCGGAUCGCAUCGCUCGCAAGCCCGGAGACCGGCCCGUGGUGGGCACCGCUU